AACGAACGCUGGCGGCAGGCUUAACACAUGCAAGUCGAACGCCCUAGCAAUUGGGAGUGGCGCACGGGUGAGUAACGCGUGGGAAUGUACCUUUUAGUGGGGGAUAACUCCGGGAAACUGGAGCUAAUACCGCAUACGCCCUUCGGGGGAAAGAUUUAUCGCUAAAAGAUCAGCCCGCGUGAGAUUAGGUAGUUGGUGGGGUAAUGGCCUACCAAGCCUACGAUCUCUAGCUGGUCUGAGAGGAUGAUCAGCCACACUGGAACUGAGACACGGUCCAGACUCCUACGGGAGGCAGCAGUGGGGAAUAUUGGACAAUGGGGGAAACCCUGAUCCAGCCAUGCCGCGUGAGUGAUGAAGGCUUUAGGGUUGUAAAGCUCUUUCGCCGAUGAAGAUAAUGACGGUAGUCGGAGAAGAAGCCCCGGCUAACUUCGUGCCAGCAGCCGCCGCAG
rnacentral:rRNA from 1 species